rnacentral:rRNA from 1 species
GACGAACGCUGGCGGCGUGCCUAAUACAUGCAAGUCGAGCGGACUUAAAAAGCUUGCUUUUUAAGUUAGCGGCGGACGGGUGAGUAACACGUGGGCAACCUGCCUGUAAGACUGGGAUAACUUCGGGAAACCGGAGCUAAUACCGGAUAAUCCUUUUCUACUCAUGUAGAAAAGCUGAAAGACGGUUUACGCUGUCACUUACAGAUGGGCCCGCGGCGCAUUAGCUAGUUGGUGAGGUAACGGCUCACCAAGGCGACGAUGCGUAGCCGACCUGAGAGGGUGAUCGGCCACACUGGGACUGAGACACGGCCCAGACUCCUACGGGAGGCAGCAGUAGGGAAUCUUCCGCAAUGGACGAAAGUCUGACGGAGCAACGCCGCGUGAGUGAUGAAGGUUUUCGGAUCGUAAAACUCUGUUGUUAGGGAAGAACAAGUACGAGAGUAACUGCUCGUACCUUGACGGUACCUAACCAGAAAGCCACGGCGAACUACGU